UUCGAAGGGGGCUAGCGUUGUUCGGAAUCACUGGGCGUAAAGCGCACGUAGGCGGAUCUUUAAGUCGAAUGUGAAAGCCCCCGGCUCAACUGGGGAGGGUCAUUCGAUACUGAUCAACUUGAAGGCAGGAGAGAGAAGUGGAAUUCCCGGUGUAGUGGUGAAAUGCGUAGGUAUCGGGAGGGACACCAGUGGCGAAGGCGACUUCUUGGCCUGUUCUUGACGCUGAGGCGCGAAAGCUGGGGGAGCAAACGGG
rnacentral:rRNA from 1 species